UAGGGAAUCUUCCACAAUGGGCGCAAGCCUGAUGGAGCAACACCGCGUGAGUGAAGAAGGGUUUCGGCUCGUAAAGCUCUGUUGUUAAAGAAGAACACGUAUGAGAGCAACUGUUCAUACGUUGACGGUAUUUAACCAGAAAGUCACAGCUAACUACGUGCCAA
rnacentral:rRNA from 1 species